rnacentral:lncRNA from 1 species
AAUAGAAUCUGCCUGCCAAUGCCUGCAACAUUUUUGGGGUAUUACAUAUUACACUGUCUGUGCUUCUGGGAAAAAUGGACCCCACCCUUCCUCGUCGUCGUGGGCUGCAGCUCAGAUCUCCGGUUCUUUUUAUGGUCAAGCUUUUAGAUCUAGGCUCCCCCACCCACAGCUACCUGUAAUGGGAAACAAGACUCAUUAAGGCCGCGCCAGAUGUUAUAGGGAAGGCCGGUGACAAGGGCUGUAAAAGAAUUCACCAACAGGCAGGACCCAGGAAAGUCAGGAGUUUAUUUAGAUGGCUGGGUGUGCUGUGGACAGAGGCACGGCGGGCAAGUUCCAAGAGAGGAUUGCGCAGCCAGGGCGCGAGGUGUGUUUUUCUCUUUAACAGUGACAAGGUUUAUUUGAGAAAAUAAAAAUGAAGAAUGGAGGAGAAACUCGAUCUGUAGUGAGCUUGUGAGAGGGGGGAAGAAAUUCCCAACCGGCUAGGGAUGAGUUUUGGGAACAUCAGAGGCUAAGAGCAGGGAGGAUUUACUGAAAGAAAACUUCUUAGAAGGACAGAAGCGGCCAGCAAGUGAGUUGCCCCGUUGAAAGCAAAUCUGUCUGCACCUCCGGUGUCUAGACAAGGUCGCUGCUUCUCAGGAGUGUGGUGGGGCCCCAUGAGAGGUGUGUGCAGCUCAGGGAACUGAGGCAGGUGACUGGGCCUUGUCCUGGGAUAAUACAGACAGCUCCUCUCUUGUCUCUGUGGAACCACCAAGGCAUGACGUUUUGUGGAAGAUUAGAUUUCUUCCUGUUCGGAUCUUACACUGUCCUUAAAGUUCUGGUAAGCAGCCUCCUACGCUGAUUGCAGUGAUGGGCAGUCCUUUCUCCCACCAGGAGAGGAGCCCCGCCUGACCGCAGCUGUCUGCAUUUUGACUGUUGUCUUCAUUUCUUCAUCCUCCACCGUCCUCCCUCCAGAAUUUCCAGGCUUCAGCCCUCAGCAGUGCGAUCUCUGGAAUGUAGGAUUAUUUAUGAAGAUUCGUGUUUUUGACACGAAGACCACCACAGGAACAGAGGCCAAACAAACUCUUGGACCCCUUGUGACUCAUUGAAAGCAGGAGUUGUGUUUUCUUCCGAAGCAAUCAAGGACUCAAAGCUUGGUUUUGCAACAAAACAAAACAACAACAAAGAAGGACGCUUCAUUUAGGCCGGUGGAUGUCCAAAAAGUAACUGAAAGCGGAACAAAGCUUGGCCUUCAUUUCGCACCUGCAGCACUUGGGUCAGACCCUUGUUCAUCUCUGAAUGCAGGUAUGUUAGCUGUUUAGGGAGCGUCUGUCUAGAGCGU